UACGAAGGGGGCUAGCGUUGCUCGGAAUGACUGGGCGUAAAGGGCGCGUAGGCGGUUUGUACAGUCAGAUGUGAAAUUCCUGGGCUCAACCUGGGGGCUGCAUUUGAUACGUAUGGACUGGAGUGAGGAAGAGGGUCGUGGAAUUCCCAGUGUAGAGGUGAAAUUCGUAGAUAUUGGGAAGAACACCGGUGGCGAAGGCGGCGACCUGGUCCUUUACUGACGCUGAGGCGCGAAAGCGUGGGAGCAA
rnacentral:rRNA from 1 species